AUUGAACGCUGGCGGCAGGCCUAACACAUGCAAGUCGAGCGGAUGAAGAGAGCUUGCUCUCUGAUUUAGCGGCGGACGGGUGAGUAAUGCCUAGGAAUCUGCCUGGUAGUGGGGGAUAACGUUCCGAAAGGAACGCUAAUACCGCAUACGUCCUACGGGAGAAAGCAGGGGACCUUCGGGCCUUGCGCUAUCAGAUGAGCCUAGGUCGGAUUAGCUAGUUGGUGAGGUAAUGGCUCACCAAGGCGACGAUCCGUAACUGGUCUGAGAGGAUGAUCAGUCACACUGGAACGGAGACACGGUCCAGACUCCUACGGGAGGCAGCAGUGGGGAAUAUUGGACAAUGGGCGAAAGCCUGAUCCAGCCAUGCCGCGUGUGUGAAGAAGGUCUUCGGAUUGUAAAGCACUUUAAGUUGGGAGGAAGGGCAGUAAGUUAAUACCUUGCUGUUUUGACGUUACCGACAGAAUAAGCACCGGCUAACUCUGUGCCAGCAGCCGCCGUAACAC
rnacentral:rRNA from 1 species